CUCCGCCCUCGUCCGGCCGGGACCUUCGGCCCCCUGUGCCGAACGGCGCGCAGCGCGGCUCGGGGCCGUCGGGUGGUGGC
rnacentral:tRNA from 1 species